CAUUGCCUACCUCUUCUUCCUCAACCCGCUCCACCACCCCUCCUUCUCUAGCAUCCGACUUCUCAUCGGUCCUCUAAUUCCACCAACACUCUUCUUCUUCUUCUCUGAUCCCCCCACCUUCUUCUUCUUCUUCUUUUCCUCCAUGCCCCCCCCCAACUAACACCAAUCCCACUAUAUUUUUUUUAGAUCCCUUCUCUUCCUCUUCUCCCCAAGUCCACCGCCCCUUU
rnacentral:lncRNA from 1 species